UGGGGAAUUUUGGACAAUGGGGGCAACCCUGAUCCAGCCAUCCCGCGUGUGCGAUGAAGGCCUUCGGGUUGUAAAGCACUUUUGGCAGGGAAGAAACAGCCUGGGCUAAUAUCCCGGGCGACUGACGGUACCUGCAGAAUAAGCAUCGGCUAACUACGUGCCAGCAGCCGCGGUAAUACGUAGGGUGCAAGCGUUAAUCGGAAUUACUGGGCGUAAAGCGUGCGCAGGCGGUUCGGAAAGAAAGGUGUGAAAUCCCAGGGCUUAACCUUGGAACUGCACUUUUAACUACCGGGCUAGAGUACGUCAGAGGGGGGUAGAAUUCCACGUGUAGCAGUGAAAUGCGUAGAGAUGUGGAGGAAUACCGAUGGCGAAGGCAGCCCCCUGGGAUAAUACUGACGCUCAUGCACGAAAGCGUGGGGAGCAAACA
rnacentral:rRNA from 1 species